rnacentral:rRNA from 1 species
GAAUGCUGACAUAAGUAACGAUAAAGCGGGUGAAAAGCCCGCUCGCCGGAAGACCAAGGGUUCCUGUCCAACGUUAAUCGGGGCAGGGUGAGUCGACCCCUAAGGCGAGGCCGAAAGGCGUAGUCGAUGGGAAACGGGUUAAUAUUCCCGUACUUGGUGUUACUGCGAAGGGGGGACGGAGAAGGCUAUGUUGGCCGGGCGACGGUUGUCCCGGUUUAAGCGUGUAGGUGUGUGUU